AUUGAACGCUGGCGGCAUGCCUUACACAUGCAAGUCGAACGGCAGCACGGGAGCUUGCUCCUGGUGGCGAGUGGCGAACGGGUGAGUAAUACAUCGGAACGUACCCUGAAGUGGGGGAUAACGUAGCGAAAGUUACGCUAAUACCGCACAUUCUGUGAGCAGGAAAGAGGGGGAUCGCAAGACCUCUUGCUUUAGGAGCGGCCGAUGUCGGAUUAGCUAGUUGGUGAGGUAAAGGCUCACCAAGGCGACGAUCCGUAGCGGGUCUGAGAGGAUGAUCCGCCACACUGGGACUGAGACACGGCCCAGACUCCUACGGGAGGCAGCAGUGGGAAUUUUGGACAAUGGGCGCAAGCCUGAUCCAGCCAUGCCGCGCGAGUGAAGAA
rnacentral:rRNA from 1 species